AGAGCAGCUGACUCUUAAUCAGCGGGCCCCGGGUUCGAGUCCCUGAUGGCGCA
rnacentral:tRNA from 1 species